rfam:Picea glauca, whole genome shotgun sequence.
AUGUACAAGCCUACAACAUAGCGUUGAUGCAUAAGAUACCAUUAGAACUACGCAGUUAAGUGUGCUCCGGAUAGAGUAGUAUUGGGAUGGGUGAUUUCCUGAGAAGUCCUAGUGUUUUACAUG